CUCGCCGCUGACUCACUUGGUGACCUUGCAGAGAAAGACUCUUACAUCCAAGUCUGCCUGUCUGCAAAAGCCAUCACGGUUUCCUAAGUGCACCAGGCUAUCCUAUCACUAGAGGGACACUCGGUUGCAUUCAGGUAUAAAGGAGAAAGGUGCCCUGAGCCUCUGUUAAUGUAUGUGCUUCCUGACCGGCCCCUCUGAAGCUGCCAUCCCACCGAGGACCAUCAAGUCAUCAGAAACAUGCCUAUGGCUCUCCUGGCCCCAGACCUCUUCCUAUUAGUUUUCUAAUUGCCUGUAUACUACUACGUAUUUGAAUAAAGCAGUGCAGGAAAUGUUUUUCUGAGCUAGAGAAACGUUUUGUUCCCAUUCAGCGUUCAAGCCAAAUGGGGCUUUUUUUUUUUUUGAGGCUUUUUUUCAUUUUGUCAAAACAAAUGAAAAAGUAAGCA